UGUAAACUUAAUUCUGAGCUGUUGGAUGGAUGCAGCCACAGGGCCACCAUUCUCUCUGAGCAAAAUACCCUUUCUAAAAGUUACUAAAGGCUGGCUGACUAAAAUGAUUCUCAACUGAUCAUCCUGGGGGAAACACACUGGACCUGUGGCGUUGGAGACCACCAUGACUCUUCAAAGGGAAAAUACCACUGCAUUGGAAACAAAGGAGAGCAACUCAGCACAAUGGUGUGCUGAGAAAAGGAAACUUGGGAAAUCUUUCCACGUGCAGGAAGCGGAGAUGCCGAUUCCCAAAAUAACUUUCCUCCUUCCUCUGCAUCACGGAGCCAACGGAGCACAGGUUCCUUUAUGUAUUCACACACAUCCAGUCUAAACUGGAGUUCACUAUGGGGAAAUACAAUUGGUGAAUUUUUAAAUUAUGUGUUUAGAUUUUUAUUUCCAAGGUAGGAGACAAGAACAAGACCCAAAAUGCCAUCGUCAUGGGUAGCGCUUCCAACGGGGAACUUGCUUUGCCAAUACAGUUAGCGCCUUCUCUGCAAUUUAUGGUUUUAGAGAGUUGACCUAUUGGUCAAAUGCCUUAGUCUGGGUCACGUAGUUUUUAAUCUGUCAAUGAAAGGACUGGAACCCAGGUCUUCCUAACUCCUAGGCCACUCUGUCCACUCUGUCAAGCUGCCCCUCAUUUUGUCUUGCUAGCUGGACUUUA